GUGAGGUAAUGGCUCACCAAGGCGACGACGGGUAGCCGGCCUGAGAGGGCGACCGGCCACACUGGGACUGAGACACGGCCCAGACUCCUACGGGAGGCAGCAGUGGGGAAUAUUGCACAAUGGGCGAAGGCCUGAUGCAGCGACGCCGCGUGAGGGAUGACGGCCUUCGGGUUGUAAACCUCUUUCAGCAGGGAAGAAGCGAAAGUGACGGUACCUGCAGAAGAAGCGCCGGCUAACUACGUGCCAGCAGCCGCGGUAAUACGUAGGGCGCAAGCGUUGUCCGGAAUUAUUGGGCGUAAAGGGCUCGUAGGCGGCUUGUCACGUCGGUUGUGAAAGCCCGGGGCUUAACCCCGGGUCUGCAGUCGAUACGGGCAGGCUAGAGUUCGGUAGGGGAGAUCGGAAUUCCUGGUGUAGCGGUGAAAUGCGCAGAUAUCAGGAGGAACACCGGUGGCGAAGGCGGAUCUCUGGGCCGAUACUGACGCUGAGGAGCGAAAGCGUGGGGAGCGAACAGGAUUAGAUACCCUGGUAGUCCACGCCGUAAACGGUGGGCACUAGGUGUGGGCAACAUUCCACGUUGUCCGUGCCGCAGCUAACGCAUUAAGUG
rnacentral:rRNA from 1 species